UGAACUGCAUUAUAUGAGUGUACACUGAUUAUGUAAUGCAGUUUGAAGCGGCAUUAUAUGGCAGUGUAGAUGGGACCUAAUAUUGCAAGUGAACUAGAAAAUAGCAUUAAUGUCACUGGUGUGAGGGGUGGUCUGUCAUUUACUAGUGUGAAAGAGUGUUACAAUACUUCCCAUUCCCAAUCCCUCAUUGUGAUAAAAUCUAUUUUCCUUUAGAUCUUAAACAAUAGAGUAAAAUAUUUGGCCAUGAUAAUAAAUAAAUGCAAACAAGUCCUCCAGCUGAAAAACGACUGGGAAGCAAUCUUGGAUUUAGCCCCAAGCCUAGAUUCCCAGAAUUCAGUAAGGCCAAGAGUACAUCUGAAACUAAUUUUGUGCAAGAAACACUUAUUCCUAAAUUUAAAAUGAAUAAAAUAAAUAAAUAAUACAGAUCCAGUUUCAGUCACACUUGUGUUGAUUACCUUCCAUUUUCUGUAACACUUUUCAUAAAAAUACUGCUUUUGAAAACUAGUUAGGAAUUCUCAUGGAAAAAUGUUGCAAUUGGACUGUUGAGUGGGGCUGGAUAUGAGGAAUAUUAAUAGUCUUGUUGAAGCAGAUACAAAAGCAACCUGCCAGUUACCAAGCAAAAUUGAAAGUGCUUGUAUACAGACUACCUGAAACAAUGUAGACUGAUAAAACAGAAUCUAGAAGAGCUAUCUAUGGGACAACCAAUUAAGCUAUGGUGUGAAGGGGGUAAGAAAUAAGAAAAAAGGAUCAAUAUGUGUACCAGAGGAAGUUACACUAGAACUUUGUGUAAGUGACUUAUUAAGACAGCGAAAGAGAAAGAGGAGGUAUUGGUGUUGGGUUACUCCUGUUGCUGUGGCAGAUGGCUGUAGAACUCCAGAGAGCUCCUGGCCAUUGGCUGGUGCCUUUGCUGACAUCAGCAACUGCCAGGAGAUGUUUGGAAUUCUGCAGCCAUAUGUCAUUGUAACAGGGAGGACAAGAAAGGGUACCAAGCCAAAUCCAUUUUGUGGAUUGAAGACAUAGUGUCUGAACAGCUCUGAGGUCUCUAGGGGCAGUCUGGAGCAUUUUGUUCUCUAGACUAUCCCAGGAUUUUGUGUCGGAGCUGACUCAACAAUAGCAAUGUGCGACCGGCCCUCAUGCUGCCUAAGUGCCCAGCCUUCCCAACUCACAAUCUGGACAUGCCAGAGCCCUCUAAUAACUGAAGAUGAAGAAGUAGGGUCAAAACCUAAUUACCAUCAAUGAAGCUGCUUUGAGUAGAUUUCAAGACCUGCAUAGAGGGAAAAAGCCUUACUUGGGAAGAGGUACGCGAUCUUGUUACUGGAAAAGAGACUUUAUGUGUGUUUAAGAGACAGAACCAAGAUUAAAAACAACAGCAACCUACCAGUUUUUUUUUUGCAAACAUUUUCCCAACUGUUUAAAAGAACCCUCUCUCUUCAACAUUUUAUUUGUAGUUGUUGCAAUAUAAUUGUUAAUUGUUUAUGCUAGUGACGUCAGAUUUUUGCUUCAUUGUGACCAGAGAUGCUGAAAGAAAAGUCAAGGAUGCCCUGAA